UACGUAGGGAGCAAGCGUUGUCCGGAAUCAUUGGGCGUAAAGCGCGCGUAGGUGGCUUCGUAAGUCCGUUGUGAAAGUCAAAGGCUCAACCUUUGAAAGCCGAUGGAUACUGCGGAGCUAGAGUACGGAAGAGGCGAGUGGAAUUCCUGGUGUAGCGGUGAAAUGCGCAGAUAUCAGGAGGAACACCGGUGGCGAAGGCGGGUCUCUGGGCAAUAACUGACGCUGAGGAGCGAAAGCGUGGGGAGCGAACAGGA
rnacentral:rRNA from 1 species